CCCUUUUCUUUUCUCUCAAAACCGUGAGCUAGUGAAGAGCUUGGAGCUCUUUCCUCUUUUGAAGACAUUACAAGCUUUUGGUGUUUACUUUGGGUCUUUGUUUUAGUGCUUAAUUGUUUAAGCACUUAAGGCUACAAGAACAAAGUUUUACAAAAAGAAAUCUUGCAAUUUUGGUACGUCAUUCUUGUUGGUGGAUUACUUACAGAGAAGAUCAAACUUCUUGUUCUUGCCAUCUACUUCAACACCCCAAAUCCAAGAGGUUCCAAAGGCUACAAAGGAGUAAUUAGUCUUUGAUUAGGCAAAAAUAAUGAGGUUUAAUCCUAAAACCCGUCAUUUUCAAUGGAGGAGUAAAUUGAAGCAAAUCAUAAGUCUUUAGCAGUUACAAUGUUAGGCACUAUAUAAAGCUCGAAAAACCCUAUGAAAACCCCACUGGAAUUGCAACAAUCGACUGAGAAUCAAGGGAGAAAUAGGGUGUGGAAGUUCGUGAAGAUUUUCAGUCUUUUGCUUUGAAUUGAGGGUACAAGUAGCGUGACAAGCUUGGUUAAGACCUAACGCCAACAAGG